UACGAAGGGGGCUAGCGUUGCUCGGAAUUACUGGGCGUAAAGCGCACGUAGGCGGUCUUUUAAGUCGGUGGUGAAAUCCUGGAGCUCAACUCCAGAACUGCCUUCGAUACUGGAAGACUUGAGUCCGGGAGAGGUGAGUGGAACUGCGAGUGUAGAGGUGAAAUUCGUAGAUAUUCGCAAGAACACCAGUGGCGAAGGCGGCUCACUGGCCCGAUACUGACGCUGAGGCACGAAAGCGUGGGGAGCAAACGGG
rnacentral:rRNA from 1 species